rnacentral:rRNA from 1 species
GACGAACGCUGGCGGCGUGCUUAACACAUGCAAGUCGAACGGAAAGGCCCUGCUUUUGUGGGGUGCUCGAGUGGCGAACGGGUGAGUAACACGUGAGUAACCUGCCCUUGACUUUGGGAUAACUUCAGGAAACUGGGGCUAAUACCGGAUAGGAGCUCCUGCUGCAUGGUGGGGGUUGGAAAGUUUCGGCGGUUGGGGAUGGACUCGCGGCUUAUCAGCUUGUUGGUGGGGUAGUGGCUUACCAAGGCUUUGACGGGUAGCCGGCCUGAGAGGGUGACCGGCCACAUUGGGACUGAGAUACGGCCCAGACCCUUACGGGAGGCAGCAGUGGGGAAUAUUGCACAAUGGGCGGAAGCCUGAUGCAGCAACGCCGCGUGCGGGAUGACGGCCUUCGGGUUGUAAACCGCUUUCGCCUGUGACGAAGCGUGAGUGACGGUAAUGGGUAAAGAAGCACCGGCUAACUACGUG